GACGAACGCUGGCGGCGUGCUUAACACAUGCAAGUCGAACGGAAAGGCCCCUUUGGGGGUACUCGAGUGGCGAACGGGUGAGUAACACGUGAGUAACCUGCCCUUGACUUCGGGAUAACUUCAGGAAACUGGGGCUAAUACCGGAUAGGAAUCCUUGCUGCAUGGUGGGGGUUGGAAAGCUUCGGCGGUUUUGGAUGGACUCGCGGCUUAUCAGCUUGUUGGUGGGGUAGUGGCUUACCAAGGCUUUGACGGGUAGCCGGCCUGAGAGGGCGACCGGCCACAUUGGGACUGGGAUACGGCCCAGACUCCUACGGGAGGCAGCAGGGGGGAAUAUUGCACAAUGGGCGGAAGCCUGAUGCAGCAACGCCGCGUGCGGGAUGACGGCCUUCGGGUUGUAAACCGCUUUCAGCAGGGGCGAAGCUUGUGGUGACGGUACCUGCAGAAGAAGCACCGGCUAACUACGUG
rnacentral:rRNA from 1 species